UACGUAGGGUGCAAGCGUUGUCCGGAAUUAUUGGGCGUAAAGAGCUCGUAGGCGGUUUGUUGCGUCGGCUGUGAAAACGCGAGGCUCAACCUCGCGCCUGCAGUGGGUACGGGCAGACUAGAGUGCGGUAGGGGAGAUUGGAAUUCCUGGUGUAGCGGUGGAAUGCGCAGAUAUCAGGAGGAACACCGAUGGCGAAGGCAGAUCUCUGGGCCGUUACUGACGCUGAGGAGCGAAAGCGUGGGGAGCGAACAGG
rnacentral:rRNA from 1 species